rnacentral:rRNA from 1 species
UACGAAGGGGGCUAGCGUUGCUCGGAAUCACUGGGCGUAAAGCGCACGUAGGCGGAUUCUUAAGUCGGGGGUGAAAUCCUGGAGCUCAACUCCAGAACUGCCUUCGAUACUGGGAAUCUUGAGUCCGGAAGAGGUGAGUGGAACUGCGAGUGUAGAGGUGAAAUUCGUAGAUAUUCGCAAGAACACCAGUGGCGAAGGCGGCUCACUGGUCCGGUACUGACGCUGAGGUGCGAAAGCGUGGGGAGCAAACAGG